UUUCCGUAGGUGAACCCGCGGAAGGAUCAUUACUGAGUGAGGGCCCUCUGGGUCCGACCUCCCACCCGUGUUUAUUAUACCUUGUUGCUUCGGUGAGCCCGCCUCACGGCCGCCGGGGGGCAUCUGCCCCCGGGCCCGCGCCCACCGAAGACACCUAGAACUCUGUAUGAGGAUUGCAGUCUGAGCAAAAACUAAAUAAGUUAAAACUUUCAACAACGGAUCUCUUGGUUCUG
rnacentral:misc_RNA from 1 species